UACGAAGGGGGCUAGCGUUGCCCGGAAUCACUGGGCGUAAAGCGCACGUAGGCGGAUUGCUAAGUCAGGGGUGAAAUCCUGGAGCUCAACUCCAGAACUGCCUUUGAUACUGAGGAUCUUGAGUUCGGGAGAGGUGAGUGGAACUGCGAGUGUAGAGGUGAAAUUCGUAGAUAUUCGCAAGAACACCAGUGGCGAAGGCGGCUCACUGGCCCGAUACUGACGCUGAGGCACGAAAGCGUGGGAGCAAACAGGG
rnacentral:rRNA from 1 species